UAGGGAAUCUUCGGCAAUGGACGAAAGUCUGACCGAGCAACGCCGCGUGAGUGAAGAAGGUUUUCGGAUCGUAAAACUCUGUUGUUAGAGAAGAACAAGGACGUUAGUAACUGAACGUCCCCUGACGGUAUCUAACCAGAAAGCAACGGCUAACUACGUGCCAGCAGCCGCGGUAAUACGUAGGUGGCAAGCGUUGUCCGGAUUUAUUGGGCGUAAAGCGAGCGCAGGCGGUUUCUUAAGUCUGAUGUGAAAGCCCCCGGCUCAACCGGGGAGGGUCAUUGGAAACUGGGAGACUUGAGUGCAGAAGAGGAGAGUGGAAUUCCAUGUGUAGCGGUGAAAUGCGUAGAUAUAUGGAGGAACACCAGUGGCGAAGGCGGCUCUCUGGUCUGUAACUGACGCUGAGGCUCGAAAGCGUGGGGAGCAAACAGG
rnacentral:rRNA from 1 species